rnacentral:rRNA from 1 species
CCUGACUGCUAUCGGAUUGAUACUAAGCCAUGCGAGUCAUUGUAGCAAUACAAGGCAGACGGCUCAGUAACGCGUAGUCAAUCUACCCUAUGGACGGAGAUAAUCUCGGGAAACUGAGAAUAAUAUCCGAUAGAACAUUAUGCCUGGAAUGGUUUAUGUUUCAAAUGAUUUAUCGCCAUAGGAUGGGACUGCGUCCUAUCAGUUUGUUGGUGAGGUAAUGGCCCACCAAGACUAUUACAGGUACGGGCUCUGAGAGGGGUAGCCCGGAGAUGGGUACUGAGACACGGACCCAGGCCCUAUGGGGCGCAGCAGGCGGGAAAACUUUGCAAUGUGCGAAAGCACGACAAGGUUAAUCCGAGUGGUUUCUGCUAAAGAAACCUUUUGUCAGUCCUAGAAACACUAACGAAUAAGGGGUGGGCAAGUUCUGGUGUCAGCCGCCGCGGUAAAACCAGCACCUCAAGUGGUCAGGAUGAUUAUUGGGCCUAAAGCAUCCGUAGCUUGCUUUGUAAGUUCUCGGUUAAAUCCAUACGCUUAACGUAUGGGCUGCCGGCAAUACUGCAAAGCUAGGGAGUGGGAGAGGUAGACGAUACUCGGUAGGAAGGGGUAAAAUCCUUUGAUCUAUUGAUGACCACCUGUGGCGAAGGCGGUCUACCAGAACACGUCCGACGGUGAGGGAUGAAAGCUGGGGGAGCAAACCGGAUUAGAUACCCGGGUAGUCCC